GACGUAGGGCGCGAGCGUUGUCCGGAUUUAUUGGGCGUAAAGAGCUCGUAGGCGGCUUGUCACGUCGGAUGUGAAAGCCCGGGGCUUAACUCCGGGUCUGCAUUCGAUACGGGCUGGCUAGAGUGUGGUAGGGGAGAUCGGAAUUCCUGGUGUAGCGGUGGAAUGCGUAGAGAUCGGGAAGAACAUCAGUGGCGAAGGCGGCCUGCUGGGCUGUUGCUGACGCUGAGGCGCGACAGCGUGGGGAGCAAACAGG
rnacentral:rRNA from 1 species